rnacentral:rRNA from 1 species
UGGGGAAUUUUGGACAAUGGGGGCAACCCUGAUCCAGCAAUGCCGCGUGUGUGAAGAAGGCCUUCGGGUUGUAAAGCACUUUUGUCCGGAAAGAAAACGCCGUGGUUAAUACCCGUGGCGGAUGACGGUACCGGAAGAAUAAGCACCGGCUAACUACGUGCCAGCAGCCGCGGUAAUACGUAGGGUGCAAGCGUUAAUCGGAAUUACUGGGCGUAAAGCGUGCGCAGGCGGUCCGCUAAGACAGAUGUGAAAUCCCCGGGCUUAACCUGGGAACUGCAUUUGUGACUGGCGGGCUAGAGUAUGGCAGAGGGGGGUAGAAUUCCACGUGUAGCAGUGAAAUGCGUAGAGAUGUGGAGGAAUACCGAUGGCGAAGGCAGCCCCCUGGGCCAAUACUGACGCUCAUGCACGAAAGCGUGGGGAGCAAACAGGAUUAGAUACCCUGGUAGUCCACGCCCUAACGAUGUCAACUAGUUGUCGGGUCUUCAUUGACUUGGUAACGUAGCUAACGCGUGAAGUUGACCGCCUGGGGAGUACGGUCGCAAGAUUAAAAACUCAAAGGAAUUGAC